rnacentral:rRNA from 1 species
GACCAGACUCCUACGGGAGGCAGCAGUGGGGGAUAUUGCACAAUGGGGGAAACCCUGAUGCAGCGACGCCGCGUGGGCGAAGAAGUAUUUCGGUAUGUAAAGCCCUAUCAGCAGGGAAGAAGAAAUGACGGUACCUGAAGAAGAAGCCCCGGCUAACUACGUGCCAGCAGCCGCGGUAAUACGUAGGGGGCAAGCGUUAUCCGGAUUUACUGGGUGUAAAGGGGGCGCAGACGGCGAUGCAAGCCAGGAGUGAAAGCCCGGGGCCCAACCCCGGGACUGCUCUUGGAACUGCGUGGCUGGAGUGCAGGAGGGGCAGGCGGAAUUCCUGGUGUAGCGGUGAAAUGCGUAGAUAUAAGGAAGAACACCAGUGGCGAAGGCGGAUGACUGGACGGCAACUGACGGUGAGGCGCGAAAGCGUGGGGAGCAAACAGGAUUAGAUACCCCUGUAU